rnacentral:misc_RNA from 1 species
CAAGCUAUUUAGGUGACACUAUAGAAUACUCAAGCUAUGCAUCCAACGCGUUGGGAGCUCUCCCAUAUGGUCGACCUGCAGGCGGCCGCGAAUUCACUAGUGAUUUCCGUAGGUGAACCUGCGGAAGGAUCAUUACUGAAAAACUAUUUUUAAGUUUUUUAUAUCCCAUUGUUUACUUACCCUGUUGCUUUCACUGGACAGAUUUCACCUUGUGUGGGUCCUUUGGCUAGUGUGAAAUACCACUUGCCAAAGAGUUGCCAGUGGUAAGACCUAUUUAUCAAAACUUGAGUUUCAAUAAACACAAUUGUCUGAAUAUUUUUUUUCUUUAAUGAAAUAAAACUUUCAACAACGGAUCUCUAGGCUCUUGCAUCGAUGAAGAACGCAGUGAAAUGCGAUAAGUAAUGUGAAUUGCAGAAUCUCGUGAAUCAUUGAAUCUUUGAACGCACAUUGCGCCCUAUGGUAUUCCAUUGGGCAUGCCUGUCUGAGCGUCAGCUCCCCCUCCACUCAAGAAUCAUUUUAUAUGAUACUUGGAUUACUUUGGAGAUGUAACUGUAUAUUAAGUUGCCCUCCAGAAAUUCAUUGGCAGUAUGGUUUGUACUUGGACCAGACGUAAUAGUAAUAAAAUCGUUUGUUUGGGUAUAAUUGAUUGUACUUGCCUUAACCCCCACCCAUUUUUAUCUUGGGUGACCUCAGAUCAGGUAGGGAUACCCGCUGAACUUAAGCAUAUCAAUAAGCGGAGGAAAUCGAAUUCCCGCGGCCGCCAUGGCGGCCGGGAGCAUGCGACGUCGGGCCCAAUUCGCCCUAUAGUGAGUCGUAUUACAAUUCACUGGCCGUCGUUUUACAACGUCGUGACUGGGAAAACCCUG